rnacentral:misc_RNA from 1 species
UUAAGUUCAGCGGGUAGUCCUACCUGAUUUGAGGUCAAAUUGUCAUGUAUUGUCCAAAUGAACAGACAGUUAGAAGCAGUGCCAAAACCAAUUGCAGACAUCCACGGCGUAGAUAAUUAUCACACCAAAUAGACGGUCCACGCGGGGCACCAGCUAAUGCAUUUCAGGGGAGCUGACCUCUGUGAAAGAAGCCAGCAAAA